rnacentral:rRNA from 1 species
CCUAGGGUGGCUGCAGUGGGAAAUAUUGGACAAUGGGCGAAAGCCUGAUCCAGCCAUGCCGCGUGUGUGAAGAAGGCCUUCGGGUUGUAAAGCACUUUCAGUGGGGAAGAAAGCCUUGGGGCUAAUACCCUCGAGGAAGGACAUCACCCACAGAAGAAGCACCGGCUAACUCCGUGCCAGCAGCCGCGGUAAUACGGAGGGUGCGAGCGUUAAUCGGAAUUACUGGGCGUAAAGCGCGCGUAGGCGGUCUGAUAAGCCGGUUGUGAAAGCCCCGGGCUCAACCUGGGAACGGCAUCCGGAACUGUCAGGCUAGAGUGCAGGAGAGGAAGGUAGAAUUCCCGGUGUAGCGGUGGAAUGCGUAGAGAUCGGGAGGAAUACCAGUGGCGAAGGCGGCCUUCUGGACUGACACUGACGCUGAGGUGCGAAAGCGUGGGUAGCAAACAGGAUUAGAUUACCCGAGUAGUC